GACGAACGCUGGCGGCGUGCUUAACACAUGCAAGUCGAGCGGUAAGGCCCUUUCGGGGGUACACGAGCGGCGAACGGGUGAGUAACACGUGGGUGACCUGCCCUCAGCUCUGGGAUAAGCCUGGGAAACGUGGGUCUAAUACUGGAUAUGACUCCACGGUGCAUGUCGUGGGGUGGAAAGCCUUGUGCGGCUGAGGAUCGGGCCCGCGGCCUAUCAGCUUGUUGGGUGGGGUGANGGCCUACCAAGGCGACGACGGGUAGCCGGCCUGAGAGGGCGACCGGCCACACUGGGACUGAGACACGGCCCAGACUCCUACGGGAGGCAGCAGUGGGGAAUCUUGCGCAAUGGGCGAAAGCCUGACGCAGCG
rnacentral:rRNA from 1 species